UGUUGCUGGUGCUGGGUUCAAACCCUGAAGCCACAAUGCGUGAUAGAAGGGAAGUGACUGAGGCUGGGGUGUGUGUGAACACUGCAGGCCUCACAGAACCUUUUUCUCUAACUGGAAUCAGGCCUUUCUCUCUGUCUCUGGGCCUCCCACCCCUGAGAUCCGGGCUGUUGAAUUUGGGACAUGCGUGAGAGCCGAGGAAGUACAGGCAGUCCUUGGACAUACGACAUGAUUGGUUCCUGAAAAUUGCGCCAUAGGUCAAAAUGUCAUAACUCAGAACCGCAAUCCACUCCAUAGUGUGACUGAGCAUCAUAAAGUCGAAACCAACGGCAUAAGUUGAAUCAGGGUGUCAGUACAGAAACUUGUAAGUUGUGUUUGUCGUAAGUUGAACAUCGUAAAGUCAAGGACUGCCUGUAGAUGGAUCCUCUGCGUAGGGGGAGGUGCUUGUCCUGACCUUCUCCACAAUGUUUACCAGAGAUGUGCAGCGGCCCUGGGAGCAGGAGGAUAAGGAGAUGAAAAGCCACUGCUUCUUCCAGAGAGAGUUGCCAUACUACCUGAGGCAUCAUCAGAGCUCAGAACCCAGUGACAAUCCCUAGUGCCUUUUAGUGUGCCAGGAAGAUCAACAGACUCCAUCUUUGCUGGACCUAGGAGGAGGGAAAGUACUAUAUACAAGAGCCCCUGCUUGAAAAUGCCAAGCCAGCGGCCCAGCUAAGCCAGGGGAAUAAUAGGUGGAAGAUCUCCGCAGCUGAGAUAUCAGGAAUAGAAAGAUAACCAGGAUCCCAUCUGUAUAUGACUUUAGAGAUUAUUUAAUUUGCCACAGUCGUAUCGCUUGUCUUUUAUUGCCAUAGCUUCCACGCUUUGCACAACAAUGUAUAACAUUCAGCUUUCCGUGGCAUUAAAGUGUGUUUCCUUUCUAUUGAGAACA